rnacentral:misc_RNA from 1 species
UCAAACUUGGUCAUUUAGAGGAAGUAAAAGUCGUAACAAGGUUUCCGUAGGUGAACCUGCGGAAGGAUCAUUAACGAGUGUAACUUACCCUUUUUUUAAAAGAGGGUAGUACCUCCCGUCCUUUGUAGGCCCCUUUUUAUAAGGGGGCUUUUUAAGACUUUCUGCUUCGGCGGGGUUAUUCCCGCCGGGACACCCUCAAAAAACUCUUCAAAAAACUUCAGUCUGAGAAUUUUUGAAAAUAAAAAAAAACUUUCAACAACGGAUCUCUUGGUUCUGGCAUCGAUGAAGAACGCAGC